AUCGCAUCGUCUCACAGCAGCAGUAUUUGCAUCGGAUCGUUCCGGUUGAAAAGUGGAAAUUUUCGAUAGCCGACUUGUGCGAAUAUUAGAAAAGAAAAAAUGGUGAAAUUGUCGAUUGUGCUAUUUUUGGUGGUAGCUCUGAUGUGCUGCUUGGGGAUGGCGAAGCCCCACCGUCGCGGCCCUCCGCCAGUCGUUGUCGCUCCAGUCAUCGUGCAACCAGCAAUUCGCAGACCUCCUGUUUUGGUGCGACAACCAGUUAUUGUACGACCCAUAGUUUCGCGCACAGUCGUUCAACCCGUAGUGGUAGGACGAUAUUGAACCGUUUUGGGAAAUAAAUAUGUGUACAUAAGCUUAAAUUUUUUGUUUUGCUUUUGCCGAAAAGGUGCUAAUCACAUAUAUCAAUAAUACCUAGGGCAAAUAGAUAAUAUAAAAGUCCACUCCAACCCGUAGAAAUCAAUCAGUGUUCUUAAAGCAACCAGUCGAGCUACAAACAAAAGAUGAAGUUCCUCACGUUUUCACUACUGAUAUGCGCCAUCGUCGUAGUAGCUGUCCAGGCUCGCCCACAACGUAAAGGUCCCGGCGGCGGGCCAGUCCAACAAGCACCGGUUGUUGUGGUUACCACUCCUGGUAAGAAACCGAGCGUAGUCGUAGUUCAAACAAACAAACCGGGAGGACCAGUGAAGGGGCCGAUUCAACCACAGAAACCUGGACCGGGACCGAUUAAGGGACCAGCACCGAUCAAGGGACCAGCACCAAAUCAGCGCCCCGGAAAUAACCCACCAGCAAAAGUGAUUAUCGUGAAGCAUUAGUGGGAUGAAAAAUUACAUCCGCCAAGCAUGCAAUGACAAAUUCGGACACCACGAUUUGAUCCCGUUGAUUUUGAUGUAUUGUAGGAAAAAUAAUUGACAUCGGAAAAUUUUGCUAUUUAUCAUCAA